UACGUAGGGGGCUAGCGUUGUCCGGAUUUAUUGGGCGUAAAGAGCGUGUAGGCGGCCAAGUAGGUCCGGUGUGAAAACUCGAGGCUUAACCUCGAGAUGUCAUCGGAAACCAUUUGGCUAGAGUCCGGAAGAGGAAAGUGGAAUUCCUGGUGUAGCGGUGAAAUGCGUAGAUAUCUGGAGGAACACCGGUGGCGAAGGCGGCGUCCUGGACCAAUACUGACACUGAAACGCGAAAGCCAGGGGAGCAAACGGG
rnacentral:rRNA from 1 species